AAUGAUCUUCUGUACUCACAGAAUGCCAUACAUUUACUUUAAACUAGAGUGCACCUGUAGGCAUACCUGAUUUGACCCUUCACUGUUUGGUAAAACACAUGAAAGUUCCUCUCAAUUCUCUGUACAUUUGGAAAUGUGUUCAUUGCCCCAAAGUCAAAAAUGUGAUGAUCAAAACAAAUAGGAAAAGUUCUUAAAGUUAAAGUUUUCUAUCAUGAAUGUGCAGAUUAAAGCAUCGGCCACAAGAGUACAUUCAACAACCUAACCAUUAUUCAAGUUGCAUUGGGGACACCCUGGUGAACAUAUACAAAUACACUACAUUACAGGUCAAGGAAGACAUGUUGAUCAAACAGCUGUGAGCAAUCAAGUGAAAUUCCUCAGCUGUCUCACAGUGCGUGCUGCUCUGCCAAGACCUAACGUGAAAAAGCUUAAUACUAUUUUGAGUACGUAAUGGAUCACAACGCGAUAUUUUCCUAGGAAACCAUUUGACGUCCAAAGAGUAAUAAUGUGUCUGAAAGCAUGUGUGACUGGACAUUGCACACGCAUUGGCUACACUGGAGCGGUACAGGCCUACUUACAUGCAGUUUACUUCAUAAUGCUUUGCAUUCCUGUUAUAUUUGCAUAAAAUGUGUGAGGCUCAUAGGCGGCAUUUCCUCCUUGAUGGAAUCGCUUGUGUUAGUUAGGCCUUUCCUUCAACUUCCGACUUUUGAACCUCACACCCAUUGACACCGCCAUGUGUUACCAACAUUGACUCAUUUCAUGUAUUGGCCAACAAACGAACUUGUAGGCCUACGUGCCAUGGUUGUCACAUUUUAAUAAAACAUGGUUAAUAUUUAAUUAGAGGAACAUACCCCAAUGUACUGAUGAAGCCAUUGACAGUGCCUUCCGCGUAAAGCGACACAAUGUCUCCAAUAUGAAGAAAACUAGAUCUGUUGUCUGACAUUUUCGCUUAAUUCUGUCCAAAAGUUGGCUUUCCAGGACAAUGACCCAACACACCUCCAGGCUGUGUAAGGGCUAUAUGACCAAGGAGAGUGAUGGAGUGCUGCAUCAGAUGACCUGGCCUCCACAAUCACCCGAGCUCAACCCAAUUGAGAUGGGUUGGGUUGAGUUGGAAAAGCAGCCAACAAGCACUCAGCAUAUGUGGGAACUCCUUCAAAACGGUUGGAAAAGCAUUCCUCAUGAAGCUGGUGGAGAGAAUGCCAAGUGUGCAAAGCUUUGUAACGCCAUGUAUUUGCUAUUUGUGUUUACGACUAAGACCCCUCAUGUUCCCCAAUUAUGAGACAAAUAUUUUCCUGCCCUCGCGGAAGAGUUGAGCUCUUCUCCAACACCCUCUAUCCAUGAUGAGCCCGUCAUGUACUGAAGUCAAGCCACUGAAGACAUCAACCCGUCCUGUCAUGUCCUGAAGCCAAGCCUCUGAACACAUCAAGUCUAGCAGCACUCGGACUGGUCAGACACCAAACGAUAUCCUGUACCUGGCAGCAGCUUCCUUGGUCAACUUGGACAGCCUGAUCCCCCAGCAUCUGUCCAUACAGUACCGCCUGCUGGCUUGUGAAAAAUAAAGACCCAUUGUACCUUG